GGCUCUGUGGUCUAAAGGCAAGGACACCGCCAUUUCACGGCGGUAAACAGGGGUUCAAAUUCCAUACAGGUCA
rnacentral:tRNA from 2 species